rfam:Coccidioides immitis H538.4 supercont1.16 genomic scaffold, whole genome shotgun sequence.
GGCACUGUGGCGGAGCGGUCUAACGCGCCAGACUAGAAAUCUGGUUCCUUCGGGAGCGCUGGUUCGAAUCCAGCCGGUGUCG